GGUUAUGGCUCAGAGGUAGAGCACUCGCCUAGCAUGUGUGAGGCACUGGGUUCGAUCCUCAGCACCA
rnacentral:tRNA from 1 species